GGUGGCUCAGUGGUAGAGUGCUUGCCUUGCAUGCAUGAGGCCCUGGAUUCAAUUCUCAGCACCA
rnacentral:tRNA from 1 species